CCGAACGAGCCGGGGUAGUCACCGAGAGGCCGCUUCUUUGACCUUCGAGGGUCCGGAGGAUUCGGGGAUGUGGCCGGAGGCAGUUCCCGAGGACAGGUCUUCGUGUUCCGGCCGAGCAGAUGUUGACGCUGCCAGGCUCGACCUGGCGGCCCCGGGCUGGCAGCCAAAUCCCCAGCGUCUGUGCUCGGGACGCUAGUGUUCGGCCGGGACGUGCAGCUCCGGAGCCCGCGCUGGCGACCUUGACCACCUGGCAUGUACUCUGAAAUAUUUUUCAAAUGGAAAAGAAAGCAGAGAACACAGUUUUCAAAAUAUCUAGAGCCCUCCAAGAUGUCUGUAGUAAUCUAUAAAAUCUCAAGACAAUUUAAAGAAGAAUAGAAAAUGUUUUUGAAACACUAUUCUCUCCACAUCCUAGGGCAGCAGCCUUCUCUGAAGAAACGUAAAGAAGGAAAUGGAUUGCCUUAGCAAAAACCAAAUGAAGACACUCCAAAUAAAAGAAGAAUGGGAAGGCUACAGACCUUGAAGUCAGAAGAAAAUUUCCUCUUCUUAGCCUGUUUCUCCUUCAAUGCGUCACCAGUACAGUCUCUUAUUUCUAGGGCCAUGUUCAGCUUUUUUCCCCUAAGUUGUAAUGUCCUUCUUUUGGUUGGGUCAUGUCCUAAAAUCCUACUCUUUGGUACAAGAUGAAGGUAGAUGAAGAGAUAAUGAAGGAAACAAAUUCAAUGUGUUUGCUAAGAACACAGUCUUUUAAAUCAUUCUUAAAGGAUUCUUUUAAAACAAUGUAAUAGAUUGUCGUUAUCUAUUACACAAAGCUAGUAGGAACCUCGAAGUGUAUUAAAAACAUUUCAACAUUCAGCAGUAGAGGGCAGCACUGCCCUUCAUUUGCAAAAUGUUGCGCACUCUUGAGAAGGAAAAUAAAGGCAAAACUCCUGA